AUUGAACGCUGGCGGCAGGCUUAACACAUGCAAGUCGAGCGGAGAUGAGGUGCUUGCACCUUAUCUUAGCGGCGGACGGGUGAGUAAUGCUUAGGAAUCUGCCUAUUAGUGGGGGACAACAUUCCGAAAGGGAUGCUAAUACCGCACACGUCCUACGGGAGAAAGCAGGGGAUCUUCGGACCUUGCGCUAAUAGAUGAGCCUAAGUCGGAUUAGCUAGUUGGUGGGGUAAAGGCCUACCAAGGCGACGAUCUGUAGCGGGUCUGAGAGGAUGAUCCGCCACACUGGGACUGAGACACGGCCCAGACUCCUACGGGAGGCAGCAGUGGGGAAUAUUGGACAAUGGGGGGAACCCUGAUCCAGCCAUGCCGCGUGUGUGAAGAAGGCCUUAUGGUUGUAAAGCACUUUAAGCGAGGAGGAGGCUACUGAGACUAAUACUCUUGGAUAGUGGACGUUACUCGCAGAAUAAGCACCGGCUAACUCUGUGCCAGCCGCCGCCGUAAGAC
rnacentral:rRNA from 1 species